CAGUAGCCGCGGGAAUACAGAGGGUGCGAGCGUUAAUCGGAUUUACUGGGCGUAAAGCGUGCGUAGGCGGCUUCUUAAGUCGGAUGUGAAAUCCCUGAGCUUAACUUAGGAAUUGCAUUCGAUACUGGGAAGCUAGAGUAUGGGAGAGGAUGGUAGAAUUCCAGGUGUAGCGGUGAAAUGCGUAGAGAUCUGGAGGAAUACCGAUGGCGAAGGCAGCCAUCUGGCCUAAUACUGACGCUGAGACGCGAAAGCCAGGGGAGCGAACGGGAUUAGAUACCCGUGUAGUCCCUGUCUCUUAUAC
rnacentral:rRNA from 1 species